AACGCGAAGAACCUUACCUGGGCUUGAACCGCUACUGACCAGCGGUGGAAACAUCGCCUUCUCGCAAGAGACAGUAGUAGAGGUGCUGCAUGGCUGUCGUCAGCUCGUGCCGUGAGGUGUUGGGUUAAGUCCCGCAACGAGCGCAACCCUUACUCUUAGUUGCCACCCGCAAGGGGGAACUCUAAGAGGACUGCUCCGGAUAACGGAGAGGAAGGUGGGGAUGACGUCAAGUCAGCAUGGCCUUUAUGUCCAGGGCUACACACGUGUUACAAUGCAGGGUACAAACCGUCGCGAACCUGCGAAGGGGAGCUAAUCGGAAAAAGCCCUGCUCAGUUCGGACUGCAGUCUGCAACUCGACUGCACGAAGCCGGAAUCGCUAGUAAUGGCGUAUCAGAACGACGCCGUGAAUACGUUCCCGGGCCUUGUACACACCGUAGAGAC
rnacentral:rRNA from 1 species